AGUUCGAUCAUGGCUCAGAUUGAACGCUGGCGGGAUGUUUUACACAUGUGCAAGUCGAACGGCAGCACGGACUUCGGUCUGGUGGCGAGUGGGCAGAACGGGUGAGUAAUGUAUCGGAACGUGCCCGGUAGCGGGGGAUAAUCACGCGAAAGCGUAGCUAAUACCGCAUACUGCCCUUCGGGGGAAAGUGGGGGGACCUUCGGGCCUCGCACCAUUAGGAGCGGCCGAUAUCGGAUUAGCUAGUUGGUGGGGCAACGGCUCAUCAAGGCGACGAUCCGUAGCUGGUUUGAGAGGACGACCGCCACACACUGGGAUCAAUGAGACACGGCCCAGACUCCUACGGAGGCAGCAGUGGGGAAUUUUGACAAAUGGGGGAAACCCUGAUCCAGCCAUCCCGCGUGUGCGAUGAAGGCCUUCCUCAGGUUGUAAAGCACUUUUGGCAGGAAAGAAACGGCACGGGAUACCACGUGCAAUCCACGGUACCUGCAGAAUAAGCACCGGCUAACUACGUGCCGGCAGCCGCGGUAAGGAUGUAGGUAAGGCAAGCGUUAAUCGGAAUUACUGGGCGCAAAAGCGUGCGCAGGCGGUUCGGAAAGAAAGAUGGUGAAACUUGGAGCUUAACUUUGGAACUGCAUUUUUAACUACCGAGCUAGAGUGUGUCAGAGGGAGGUGGAAUUCGCGUGUAGCAGUGAAAUGCGUAGAUAUGCGGAGGAACACCGAUGGCGAAGGCAGCCUCCUGGGAUAACACUGACGCUCAUGCACGAAAGCGUGGAGCAAACAGGAUUAGAUACUCCGGUAGUCCACGCCCUAAACGAUGUCAACUAGCUGUUGGGGCCUUCGGCCCGGUAGCGCAGCUAACGCGUGAAGUUGACCGCCUUUGGGGAGUACGGUCGCAAGGUUAAAACUCAAAAAGGAAUUGGACGGACCCGCACGCGGUGGAUGAUGUGGAUUAAUUCGAUGCAACGCGAAAACCUUACCUACCCUUGACAGUGUCUGGAAUCCCGAAGAGAUUUGGGAGUGCUCGCAAGAGAACCGGAACACAGGUGCUGUAUGGCUGUCGUCAGCUCGUGUCGUGAGACGUUGAAGAAGUCCCGCAACGAGCGCAACCCUUAUUGGUUGCUGCCGAAAGGGCACUCUAAUGAGACUGCCGGUGACAAACCGGAGGAGGUGGAUGACGUCAAGUCCUCAUGGCCCUUAUGGCAGGGGCUUCACGUCAUACAAUGGUCGGGACAGAGGGUCGCCAACCCGCGAGGGGGAGCAAAUCCCAGAAACCCGAUCGUAGUCCGGAUCGCAGUCUGCAAACUCGACUGCAGUCGGAAUCGCUAGUAAUCGCGACCAGCAUGUCGCGGUGAAUACGUUCCCGGGUCUCGUGCUGACACCGCCCGUCGUUCAAGGGAGUGGUUUUACCAGAAGUAGUUAGCCUAACCGUAAGGGGAGGGCGAUUAACACGGUAGGAUUCAUGAUCAGGUGAAGUCGUAACAAGGUAG
rnacentral:rRNA from 1 species